rnacentral:rRNA from 1 species
CACGUAGGGUGCGAGCGUUGUCCGGAAUUAUUGGGCGUAAAGAGCUCGUAGGCGGCUUGUUGCGUCGGCUGUGAAAACCCGCAGCUCAACUGUGGGCUUGCAGCCGAUACGGGCAGGCUUGAGUUCGGUAGGGGAGACUGGAAUUCCUGGUGUAGCGGUGAAAUGCGCAGAUAUCAGGAAGAACACCCGUGGCGAAGGCGACUCUCUGGAACGCAACUGACGCUGAGACGCGAAAAGCGUGGGGGAGCAAACAGG